AUGGAUCAAAUAAAGGAGUUGUAUGAGGAUGAUGGAGACUUUGGCCAUGUUUGGGUAAAGCACAUCAGGGGCCAGCCAUUAGGUGACGACUAUUUGGUGCAGGAUGGCUAUCUCUUCAAAAAUGAUCGUUUGUGCAUCUCAAGGAGUUCUCUGCGUGACAAACUAAUUAGAGAACUCCAUUCAAGUGAUCUUAGUGGCCAUGUUGGACGGGACAAGACUAUCGCUACCUUGGAAGCUCGCUACUUUUGGCCACAACUAAAGAGAGAUGCUGGAAAGUUUGUUCAGCGGUGCCCCAUAUGUCAAACCUGCAAAGGUCAAGUCCAGAACACAGGGUUAUACAUGCCUUUGUCUGUCCCUGUGGCUCCAUGGGAGGACAUCUCUAUGGACUUCGUCUUGGGCUUGCCAAGAACAAGACAAGGAAGUGAUGCUGUAUUUGUGGUCGUGGAUAGAUUCUCAAAGAUGGCUCAUUUCAUCCCAUGCCGCAAGACAACGGAUGCUCAUCAUGUGGCAAACCUAUUCUUUCGAGAAGUGGUCAGACUUCAUGGGGUACCAAGGUCCAUCGGCUCAAACUGUGAUUUCUUGCUGCAUUUUGGCUCACUUUGUGGAAGCAAUUCAACACUGAAUUGA
rnacentral:rRNA from 1 species